rnacentral:lncRNA from 1 species
CCCGGAGCACCCAGGUGGCGCUGCCCCUGAGGGAUUCCAAACAGGAACAGAUCAGGCAAGAUCCACACAUCUGGGACAGUUUUGAGAACAACACGCAAUGGCAGCACUGCUGACUGGACCCCACUUUGGACAUCCAUGUGGUCCCAGGACAAUGGGCAAAACGCCUGCAUGUGAUACCCAGGGCGGGGCAAAGCAGACAAAUCAGAUGGACUGCGACCAAUGGAAAGCUCUGGGAAGGCUUGACUUCCCAGGGCACAGCAAUGCAGGUGCUUUCUCCCGGGAUGAUCCCAAGCUGGGGUGGUGGCAGCCAUGCCCACCUUCUCCCCUGGUCUGUCUUUCUAUUCUAGAUUUUAAUGAUAAAACGAUUUUCCUAAAUAGGGAAAUCUUCAUAUCAUUAUCUAGACAGAUGAUAUAGAAGGUUAAAAUAAUUGAAAAACAGAUUUAUAUAUAAUGGACUCACUAUAAAAAUUUGAACUGAUUAAUUCUAGGAUAUUUCAGGCUUUUCUCCCUGAUUUUAUUAUGCUGAUGUAAGCCAAGAUUUUUGUCUACAUUCUGACAUGACAGAGCUUAUUAAAAU